rnacentral:lncRNA from 1 species
GAUGUAACAAAAGAAAAGAUUUUUGUAUAUUUUUCUUGCUAUUGUUCAGGUAAAUUUUGCCCAAUUUAAAUGAAAUUCACAUAUAUAGGGGUUAUUUGAAAAGUCAUUGGAUUAAUAUUGUGAUUGGAUAACAGUCAUGAUUGGAACUACCGUACUGCCAUGCAUGUGUAGGUCUACUUUGGACAAUAGCACAUGGGGCAUGAAAUGGCUGCAGUUGUGUGUUAGCCAUGCAGGGAGACUGUUGUUUAGUGUAAUGACUAUGAUGAAUUCAUCCAGAGAAUCUCAAUGUGAUGUUAUUCAGUUUUUGUGUGCAGAAGUUGUCAGACCAGUGGAAAUUUUUGAACACACAAGGAAUGAGUAUAGUGCAGAAUGUUGCCACAUUUAUAUUAUUAUAGUAUUUGAGUGGUGCAAGAGAUUCAGAUAGGAAACAAGGCACUUGGAAUCUUCCAUGCAGUGGUCUCCUACAAGUCAUAGUUCCUGAUACAGUGGUUGCAAUGAAUGAGAAUCUUCAAAGAGAUUAACAGGUGACAUUAAGGAAAAUAA